rnacentral:rRNA from 1 species
UACAGAGGGUGCAAGCGUUGUUCGGAAUUAUUGGGCGUAAAGCGCGUGUAGGCGGCUUUGCAAGUCGGGUGUGAAAGCCCUCAGCUUAACUGAGGAAGUGCGCCCGAAACUGCUUAGCUUGAGUACCGGAGAGGAUGGCGGAAUUCCCCAAGUAGAGGUGAAAUUCGUAGAUAUGGGGAGGAACACCGGUGGCGAAGGCGGCUUCCUGGCCCGUACCUGACGCUGAGGCGCGAAAGCGUGGGGAGCAAACAGGAUUGAGAUACCCUUG